UACGAAGGGUCCAAGCGUUGUUCGGAAUCAUUGGGCGUAAAGCGCGCGCAGGCGGAUCAGCAAGUCAGAUGUGAAAUCUCGAAGCUUAACUUCGAAACUGCGUCUGAAACUGCUAGUCUAGAGUGUCGGAGGGGGUAGGGGAAUUUCACGUGUAGGGGUAAAAUCCGUAGAGAUGUGAAGGAACACCGGGGGCGAAGGCGCCUACCUGGACGACUACUGACGCUGAGGCGCGAAAGCGUGGGGAGCAAAUAGG
rnacentral:rRNA from 1 species